rnacentral:rRNA from 1 species
AUUGAACGCUGGCGGCAGGCCUAACACAUGCAAGUCGAGCGAGCGGCGGACGGGAGAGUAAUGUAUGGGGACCUGCCCGCUAGAGGGGGAUAACUACGGGAAACGGUGGCUAAUACCGCUUACUGUAGGAUGAACCCCUAUGGGAUUAGCUAGUAGGUGGGGGAAAGGCUCACCUAGGCGACGAUCUCUAGCUGGUCUGAGAGGAUGAACAGCCACACUGGGACUGAGACACGGCCCAGACUCCUACGGGAGGCAGCAGUGGGGAAGAUUUCACAAUUGGGGCAAGCCUGAUGCAGCCAUGCCGCGUGUAUGAAGAAGGCCUUAGGGUUUUAAAGUUCUUUCAGCGGGGAGGCGUUACCCGCAGAAGAAGCACCGGCUAACUCCGUGCCAGCAGCCGCGGUAAUAC